UAAGUAUGCUUGAACUCCAGCAUAUUAUACUGGAGUUCCAGCAAGUAUAAAUUGUCUAGUAUAAUAUACUGGAGUUUGGAACACCAAUGC
rnacentral:pre_miRNA from 1 species